rnacentral:lncRNA from 1 species
UUUUUUUUUCUGAGUUUUCAGAGACCAGUCUCGAACCACGGCAUUCUUCUCGGUUGUUUGUAUAAUUGACUCUUCCAUUAGAAACCCAUUUUUUUUGGCAACCGAUCUCUAGUCAACACCUUCCUAGUAUGAUGCCUAUGAUGCAUGAUGAAAAAUAAGAACACAGACAAACAUCUUGGUUAGUACGACAAAUAUGAAUUACGGAAAAUCAAAAUAGAAAG